rnacentral:SRP_RNA from 1 species
ACGGGCAGUCCUGUACGGUCAGCUCCCUCGGAAUCCCCCAGGAUGGGAACGUAGCAAGGGUACUUGGUCGUAGCGACGCGAUGCAGACCGCUGCCCAC